AUGUCUCGCCACCGCCACCACCACCACGACCCGGCCCCGCCGCCCUGCUGCUCCUGCUGCGCCUGCGGCUGCUCCCCGCCGCCGUGCGGCUACUACGCGGUGCCCCCUCCCCAGCCGGCGCCCGGGUCCGACCAGCUCCUCCACGCCAUCGCCGCGCAUCUCCUGCUCAGCUCCGCGCCCCCGCCNCAGCAGCCGAACCCGCCCGACCACGGCCAGCUGCUGCUCCACUCGCUCCUCCACCGCGUGGCCGCGCUCGAGACCACCCUGCCGCACUGCUUCCCCUCCCCUCCCGCACCGCCGCAUCCCCAGCAGCCCAACCCCCGCCGGCAUCACCGCGCCGCGCACGCGCACCAGGAGGACCCGCGGUCGCGGUCGCCCUCGCCCCCGCCCCCGCCCCCGCCGCGUCGCGCGCGCCAGGGGCCGCCGUCCGAGAGGGAGCUCGCGGCGCGCACCAUCCAGGAGCACUUCCGCCGCUUCCUGGCGCGGCGCUCCCGCACGCUGCGCCAGCUCAAGGAGCUCGCCAUGCUCCGCUCUAAGGCCGCGUCCCUCCGGGCGGCCCUCUCCGGCUCCGGCCGCCGCCGGUGCAAGGACCCCAUGGCCGUCUCGGAGGCCGCCCUGGGCAUGCUCUACCGCCUCGACGGGAUCCAGGGAGGGGACCCCAUGAUCCGGGAGGGGAAGCACGCCGUGAGCCGGGAGCUCGGCCGGAUACUGGAGUUCGUUGACAAGGUGCUCCUCAAAGAGCAGGAGGAGAUGGGCGUGGACGGCGCAUUCGACGAUUAUCCUGAAGGUUGUCAUGGGAUGAAUCGCCCAACUGUGAACAGGAAGGUAAGUUUCCGCGGUAAUGAGGCCAAUACCGAGGCUGAUGAGAGCUCUGAGAGCUCGAGUUCUGCCGAGGCCGAUGAGAGGAAGGCUGCAAACAGCAAGAAGAGUGCCAAUGGCAAGCCUGGGCUUGCAGCCCCAGUGCCAGUACACAUGGAGUCAAGGAGAACUGGAGGGGAAAUGUGA
rnacentral:rRNA from 1 species